UACGUAGGAGGCAAGCGUUGUCCGGAAUCACUGGGCGUAAAGCGCGUGUAGGCGGAUCGCUAAGUCUGUGGUGAAAGCGCCUGGCUUAACCGGGCGAGGUCCAUGGAAACUAGCGGUCUGGAGGCCGGUAGAGGGGGGUGGAAUUCCGGGUGUAGCGGUGGAAUGCGUAGAGAUCCGGAAGAACACCAGUGGCGAAGGCGGCCCGCUGGGCAGUGGCUGACGCUGAGGCGCGACAGCGUGGGGAGCAAACAGG
rnacentral:rRNA from 1 species